CUGCUCACUCCAGCAGCAUAUAUGCUAACAUUGGAACGAUAUGGAGAAUAGCAUGACCCCUGUGCAAGGAUGACAUGCGAAAUCUCUAAGUUACCCACAAAGAG